ensembl:snoRNA
GUCCAAGGUGAUUCCCUCUCCAAAUGGUCUGAGUAUGUGCCUUUUUCAGGAAUGUAGCAAGUUGGAAGAAAACCAGGCAUGUCUGAGGUCUCUGCUGAUCAAGGAACACUUGUUUCCUUAGCCCUCCUCUGGCUGCCUACAUGU